UCCGGUUUAACACCGGCAGUCUCCUUAGAGUCCCCAACCAAAGGCUGGUAACUAAGGACAAGGGUUGCGCUCGUUAUCGGACUUAACCGGACAUCUUACGACACGAGCUGACGACAGCCAUGCAGCACCUGUCACCGAGUCCCCGAAGGGAAGGCCACAUCUCUGUGGUUGUCUCGGGAUGUCAAGGGUAGGUAAGGUUCUGCGCGUUGCUUCGAAUUAAACCACAUACUCCACCGCUUGUGCGGGCCCCCGUCAAUUCCUUUGAGUUUUAGCCUUGCGACCGUACUCCCCAGGCGGGAUACUUAAUGCGUUAGCUUUAGUACUCAGGAGGUUAACUUCCCGAACACCUAGUAUCCAUAGUUUACGGCGUGGACUAC
rnacentral:misc_RNA from 1 species